AUUGAACGCUGGCGGAAUGCUUUACACAUGCAAGUCGAACGGCAGCACGGACUUCGGUCUGGUGGCGAGUGGCGAACGGGUGAGUAACAUAUCGGAACGUAUCCAAUAAUGGGGGAUAACUAAUCGAAAGGUUGGCUAAUACCGCAUACGCCCUACGGGGGAAAGCUAGGGACCUUCGGGCCUGGCGUUAAUGGAGCGGCCGAUAUCUGAUUAGCUAGUUGGUGGGGUAAAGGCUCACCAAGGCGACGAUCAGUAGCUGGUCUGAGAGGACGACCAGCCACACUGGAACUGAGACACGGUCCAGACUCCUACGGGAGGCAG
rnacentral:rRNA from 1 species